rnacentral:lncRNA from 1 species
ACUAGAGACAGGAUUGCUGGUCUGAAUUUCUGGUUCUUGUUAGCGCUUUACAAUUCCUGAGACAUAUAUAAGCCUGAAAGAAAUGCUUUCCUCUGUAUUCACUCUUAAUGGCCACGUUUAUUCCUCCCUCUAUUGUAGAGAGAUCUACUAAAUAUCUUAUGACUUGAUUUGGUCCUUCUCAAAGAUAGGUUCAAGUCUUCUCUGUGGGCACUUUUCAAACUCCAAAACCAAUAAGCCUCAAGGUAGGCCCCUAGCCCUUGUGGAGUCUAUUUAUACCUUUGGGGCACGAUCAGCAACUAACAUCACAUAGCACUGGUGCUACACAAACAUAAUUCAGGUUCCUUCUUAAAUUUCUAGUUACUUACAGUGAAGGAGGCAAGGAAGGGCAACAAGUGUGUAUCUGUGUGUGUGGGUCUGUGUGAUGUGCAAAUAACAGACUCCUCUAUCUGUGUGUCCAGAUCCAAUAAGUACAAAUUCUAUCAAGCCCUUGAGACUGACAGGACAGAGUUCUGCCAAGCUGAGGAGGGGCACAGAGCUCAAGACAAAGCUUAAAAAGGCUUGGCUCAGUGAUUAAAGUACAACACAAUAAGCAACUUUAAAAUGUGUUUAUUUAGAUACAAACUCCAUCCAAGACCCCAUAAGUUAGACCUUGGCCUGUUUUCGUGAAGUGGUGUGACGGCAGUGGCC